rnacentral:snRNA from 1 species
GGAUGCGAGGGCGAUCUGGCUGCAACAUCUGUCGCAGGGUUGAUUCAGCUGAUCUGGCUGGCUAGGCAGGUGUCCCCUUCCUCCCUCACUGCUCCAUGUGCAUCCCUCCCGAAGCUGCGUGCUCAGUCAAAGAGGACGACAGGUGUCCCCUUCCUCCCUCACUGCUCCAUGUGCAUCCCUCCCGAAGCUGCGUGCUCAGUCAAAGAGGACGACCAUCCCCGCUAGAGGAGGACCAGUCUUCGGUCAAGGGUAUACGAGUAGCUGCGCUCCCCUGCUAGAACCUCCAAAGAAGCUCUCAAGAGUCACGCCUUCAUUAUUUCUUGCCUCUGGGCAAACAUUCAAGACAAAUCCAGGCAUAAUCCAAAUAGGGAAAUACAGUCUCUGCUUU